AUGGAAGAUAGAAAGAGCAGGCCACAGAGUAUAACUCGUGUAGGGUGUAAAGCUAAAUUGGUGAUUGCAAGACAGGAGGAAACAUGUCAGUGGUUUGUGAAGGAUUUCAUCGAUGAACACAACCAUCCUCUAGCCCCACGAGAUCUGUCGUGUCUUUUGCAUUCACACAGAAGAAUUAGCGAUGAGCAGAAUGCAGACAUUGCAGACACGGAAAAAUUAGGGAUCAGGAAACACCAUCUUAUGGAUAUUUUUUGCAUGCAAUAUGGUGGAUAUGAUGAGGUUGGAUGCACGACGAGUGACAUUUACAAUUUCUGCCAUGCUAACAAGUAG
rnacentral:rRNA from 1 species